UACAGAGGUCCCAAGCGUUGUUCGGAUUCAUUGGGCGUAAAGGGUGCGUAGGUGGCGUCGUAAGUCGGGUGUGAAAUCUCGGGGCUUAACUCCGAAACUGCAUUCGAUACUGCGGUGCUUGAGGACUGGAGAGGAGACUGGAAUUUACGGUGUAGCAGUGAAAUGCGUAGAGAUCGUAAGGAAGACCAGUGGCGAAGGCGGGUCUCUGGACAGUUCCUGACGCUGAGGCACGAAGGUCAGGGGGAGCAAACGGG
rnacentral:rRNA from 1 species